CGAAUCGGAUUCUUUAUUUCGGCAAUCACCUUUCCUGUAAAACAUAAAAAGAAACAUCAAAUUCUUAAUAAAUAAGAUAAAUUAAAUAUAAUUUUUUGCCUUAAAACACUUAAAUUAAGUGUUUAUCAUCCUUAAAAUAAAAUUAUUAUGGUGAUAACAGAUCAUAGCCUCCCAUUAAGUGGAUGAUAAUGGAUCCAUCAGUUGGAUAAUCAUUGGAGGCCCAAAGGCCUGGUGCUUAUCG
rnacentral:lncRNA from 1 species